GGACGUGACAUCAGUUGCGCUGACCCUUCUGAAAUUGUGUUCAUGAAAAGUCGUGAGCCUUUAUCGAAAUACCCCUGACGAAAUCUCAGUGGGGAUCUGCAAAGUUGGCUGAAAGUGGACUCAAGCUAAAGGUAGCUGGCACUUGAAGAAUGCCGAGAGGAUGACCUGGAACAGAAUGGUCUCUGCCAAAUAUUUGGGCCUUGAUGCUUGAAAAAUUGUGGAAAUUCACCGGGCGACUAUUUUCUUAACAAAAGCUUGAGAUCUGUGUCUUUUAAGCAGCCAUGCUCUUGGGUACUUCUAAUUGUUAAACAGAUAUUGAUUUGAAUAAUCUUAGCUUUCUCCAACUGCAUUUGCAGUUUUGCUGUACUGUGAUUUAAUUAUGGCUUAAUUAAUAAAUGAUAUUAAGCAU